rnacentral:tRNA from 1 species
GGCUCAGUGGUCCAAUGGUACAGCGCUCGUCUCAGACCCAGAGGGUCCUGGGUCGAUACCCAACAGAGUCG